AGGGGCGGCAGGGGACCCCCCCCCAACAAAACAUCGAUGUUGCAGGAAAGGAAAUGAGAAUCGGGAUGGAGGACAAAGAGGCAAUGUCAGAGUGACUGACAAGCUGAGAUACUUCCCAGUCAAAGGACCCAUUUUCAUGAUAGACAGUGCUUGUGGCUGGAGGCUCUACAGACAGGGUGUGCCUAUGGAGGCCAAAGACUGGCAGUAUUAGCACAGGAUUUCCUUUCCUCCAACGCUGAGGAGGGUUAUGGAGAAGAGAGACAGACUUCCAGGGGAAAGGGCACCUUUGGUUUCACUAGAUAUAGACAUUAAAAUGUGUGAAAUCUGGAACAUGCUUCAUUGAAUGAACACACAUAGCUCACAUCAACAAACCCCAAAAGU